GUUAGGAAUAUUGCGCAAUGGAGGCAACUCUGACGCAGCCAUGCCGCGUGCAGGAAGAAGGCGCUACGCGUUGUAAACUGCUUUUAACCGGGAAGAAACCCCAGGACGUGUCCUGGGUUGACGGUACCGGAGGAAUAAGCACCGGCUAACUUCGUGCCAGCAGCCGCGGUAAUACGAAGGGUGCAAGCGUUAUCCGGAUUCAUUGGGUUUAAAGGGUGCGUAGGCGGAGCGUUAAGUCAGUGGUGAAAUCCUGCAGCUUAACUGUAGACUUGCCAUUGAUACUGGCGCUCUUGAGUGCGCUUGAAGUGGGCGGAAUGUGCCGUGUAGCGGUGAAAUGCUUAGAUAUGGCACAGAACACCAAUUGCGAAGGCAGCUCACUAAGGCGAUACUGACGCUGAGGCACGAAAGCGUGGGGAUCGAACAGGAUUAGAAACCCUGGUAGUCC
rnacentral:rRNA from 1 species